UUCCUAGCAAAUAGAUGGUGUUCUUGAU
rnacentral:piRNA from 1 species